GAUGAACGCUGGCGGCGUGCCUAACACAUGCAAGUCGAGCGAACGGACGAUAAGCGUUUUCCUCUGAUGGUAGCGGCUGACGGGUGAGUAACACGUGGAUAACCUACCUAUAAGUCUGGGAUAACUUCGGGGAACCGCAGCUAAUACCGGAUAAUAUUUUGAACCGCAUGGUUCAAAAGUGAAAGACGGUCUUGCCGUAAGCUUUAGAUGGAUUCGCGCUGCAUUAGUUAGUUGGUAAGGUAACGGCAUACCAAGGCAACGAUGCGUAGCCGACCUGAGAGGGUGAUCGGCCACACUGGAACUGAGACACGGUCCAGACUCCUACGGGAGGCAGCAGUAGGGAAUCUUGCGCAAUGGGCGAAAGCCUGACGGAGCAACACCGCGUGAGUGAUGAAGGUCUUCGGAUCGUAAAGCUCUGUUGUUGGGAAAGAACAUAAGCGUGAGUAGCUGUGGACAUCUUGACGGUACCUAAUGAAAAAGCCACGGCUAACUACGUG
rnacentral:rRNA from 1 species